ACCUCUACCCUUCGCUUUCUUCCCCCCCAACAAUCCGCCCAUUACCCUCCUUCAAAUGGAACACAGGCAGCCCCUUUUCUGGAGGAAUCGUCACUUCUUACUGCCAAGAGACUCGAGAAUUACCAAUCAAUCGGCAAUUGCGAAUCGUCACCAGUUAACCUCUGCUCACCCACCUGUCUGCCGGCGAAACCCACCCGCCAUCACUCGAUUGCAACCGUUCGUCGGAAGUGCAGCCAUUGAUGGUUCGACAAGAUCCACAAAGGCAUUCGGUUCCACAGCCCAUAUCGCGGGACUAUUAGGUGUUGCUCUACUCGCCUGCCUCCGAUUAACAUUGUUCAGCAUGUACUGGAACAGCAACGCAUCUUUUCAUUCCAUAGAUACUUGUAUGAUUCGAUUUCCUUUAGCUAAAUCGCAGUACAUGCUCUUCUUCUUCUUCCUUUUUUUUUUUUUGACGUAACGCAAUUUGAUUUCAAUCCUCUCUUUUAUUCACCUUUUCUCACUUUAUCUUCUGCCCAAAUGUUGGCGGAUCUAAUAGAAUUCUUCAUAUUUCAGAGAAUUUUGGCUUGAUGUAAAGUCUGGACAAUGGCUAUCGAGAUUCUUAUCUCAUUCCUUUUUUGCUAUAGUCUUUUUUUUUUUGGGGCUUCCUUGAAUAGCAUCCUUUAAACGCUGACCUUUUUUUCCCCCUUUUUCUAGAAGCAAAAGAAUGUACUUGUGGGUGCAAAAGAAAUUGAUGUUCACCUUAUGCCUAAGCCAAGGAAAGACAGUGAUUGCAGUACUUGCUCAAUGCUCAAUAAGCCUGAUAAAUUUCUGUCAGGUUUGAACCCAUUUUCACUCAAAAGCUCGAGUUGUCAAGCGGUGGCAUCCAAAUUCCAAAUAAACCCAUCUAUUUCCCUUCCUUGCCGCCGGUGUGGGAUUCUCCAUUUUUUACUCUCAAUAUCCGUCCUCAUGUGAUACCGUGUGAUCUUUCUCACUUUUUGCCAACACGUGCAACGAGCUCUUGAUCACUUGCCCUCAACAACUGUCCUUGAGCUUUGGCUCUUCUCUCCUCCGGAUUCAGGCUUAACUACCAUGAGGUGGCCUUUCUCUUCCACGCUCGGGCGAGGGGACAACUAACUAGGAGUUGGGCUUCCACUUCCGUACUCGGACUUCACUAGCGGUGUGUGACUCCCCACAUGGACGUGUAAUCUAACUUUGAUACCAUGAUAAAUUUCAUUGGACUUACAAUCUAUUGGACUCACCUCCAACCCAAAAGCUCGAGCUUUUGAGUGGAAUGGGCUCAAGCUCGUGUAAAGCCUAGUAGAAAUUUGUCAUGUACUAGAAUAAGUUACUAUGUGCCCGUGUGAGAAGUCACAUCACGUCAGGCCAGAGUGUGGAACUCCUGGCAAGUGAAGUUCGAGUCUAUAAGUAAAAGCUCGACUCAUAGUUAGUUAUCACCAUUCAGUUGAGUGUGGAAGAGGAAGCCCACCUCAAGAUAGUUAAGUCCAAGACUGGAAGAGAAGAGAGCCCUAUUCGAGGUUAGGUAUUGAGAGCGGGUAUUUAAGAGUACAUGGCACGUAUAGGGAAAUAGUGAGAAAGAUCACACUGUGCUACGUGAUGGUGGGUUUUGAAAGGUGAAAGGAAUUAGAUCCCACAUUGGGCAAUAAAGAAAAAUAGAAGGGUUUAUAUGGAGCUUGAGUAUCACAGCCUAAUAGCUUAACCUUUUGGGUUAAAGAUGAGUCCAAGUUCGCAUAAACCAAGUAGAAAAUUAAGAUGAUAUCGGAGUAGGCUGUGCUUUUGCGCGAGCCCAUGUAAGCUCACACCAUGCCGACCUAAUGUCGAAAGAGACAAAGCCAAACGUUGGAGGUGAGGGUGGAUGUUGAGUAAAGAAGGGACAAAUCAAGAGAAAGAAUUGGGUUUGUAUGAGAAUCGGGUAAUACUAUUUAUCAGCUUGAACUUUUGAGUGGAUAUGGUUUUACUCAAUAAAGUAAAUAAAGUUUUACUCAGACGUGCAAGACCUGUUAUCCUUCUGCAGCAUCUUUGAGUUCCAUGAUCUUGCAAACCAGGGUAAGCCUCUCGUGAUCUGGGUUUUAGUUGGGUAUCAUGUAGUGCACUUGUUUGUGGAGCUAAAUGCCAAUUGCUCUUCUCCUUGUCCCUUUUGUUUUGUCUUGCAUUUAUUUGUGGGGUAUCGAUCAUAUGCUCUAUUGUUUGCUGUUGUAAUGGGUAAUUCUUGGACUCUCAGCUUUCUUGGGCAUUACCUCUUUUCACUCCAUAUAUCCAUGUAUAUUUUAUUUCAUUGUUGACCUUGUCAUUAUAACAUGAGCUCCUGAUGUAGGUGUAACUCUUGAAACUAAAUAUUCUAUUAGAAGGCCUUCCACGCUAUUUAUUCCAUUUCACAAUGAAAGAAUGAAUAAAAAGACAUAACCGGUAGAGUUUAGGGGGAGAAUGCUUCGGUUGAAUCUAUAAUGAAUGAGAGUAUGUUGAUUUUGAGAAAAAAAAGAGUGGCUUAUCUUCCUGGCUUUAUCAAGGGAAACCCAAUGGUGUAGGUUGCUAGGCGGAGGUUAAGGAUCUGAUAUAAUUCCAUUUUUUGGAAUUUAUCUGGAGGUUUUUAUUAAAUAUUGAGGUAUAAGGCACUGUACAAUUUUUGGUUUUUCUAA